AAGGAGAAUAUGCACCAAAGCGUGGAAGCCCACAGCGGUACAGCAUUCUACAUAAGGAUUUUUAAUGAUUUGUUUGACCUGUUGAUGGACGUCCGGGUUCCUGGAAGUUCUUUGCUGUCAUCAACAAUGUUGCAACAAACAUCUGUGUGUUCACAUGCCCCUGGGCAGAAGUUUCUCCGGCUUACACUGUAAGUGGGAUUUCAGGGUGAAAGAAGUGGGCAUUUUUAACUUCACUUGGUAUUUUCAUCUGCUCCCGAAAGGGAUUUCCCAUCUUUCCACAGUGUCUCGGCGCUCCUGAUCCCCCACAUCCUCGGAGACACUCGGCCCUGUCAGACUUCUUGAUCUUUGCACAUCUGGAUGGAGGCUUGGAGUCAAAUUUGAUUGAAGAGCAAGAGGGAAAUGGCUGUUUCUGUGCACCUGCACGUGCAGUCUCGGCAGCCCGAGCUAAGACAAUGGAAUAUUAUCCUGCCUCACAAAGGAAAGAAAUCCUGAUGCACACUAAAGCAAGGCUGAACCUCGAGGGCAUUCUGCUCAGGGAGAUGAGUCAGUCACAGAGGGACAUCCACUGCAGGAUUGUGCCUACAUGGGACAGCUUGAGAGACAGGGACUGGUCCUCAGAACCGCCUUGGAAGAUGAAUACUAUGCUUCCCAUUCGUCCCAUCGGGAAACUGAGGCACUGCCCACGUCGGCACCCGGCGGUGCAUGGGCGGGAUCCAGCCCGCAGAUGGGGUUUGCAGGUAGGGUUUUGCUGGAGUGCGGCCACGCCCGUUCAUGACCCGCGGCCUCCGCCGCCUUCACCAUCCACCUGCCACCUGGAGGGGUUGCCGCGGAGACCGCGCAGCCCCCAAAGCCCGGAAUAUUCGCCUCCAGCUCAGGGCAGCUUCGCGCACCGUUUGCAGGGCCCAGUGCAAAAUGAAGAUUCGAGGCCCCUUGUUUAUAGACUGUUGAGACUCUCAAAGCAGAGGCAGCGGAGCGUUAAAUCAAACGCGGCCCCUCUGAGCAGGCGGCCCCUGUGAUUGUCCAGCGUGAGGCCCAGGAAGGCCCCUCCUCCGCCCGUCACAGAAAAGCCGAGCAACCCUGCGCUAGAAAAUCCGGGGAGUCACCCUAACGUCACGCGGGCUGAGGUGCAGAACGAGGGUUUGGAGCGAAGCGGGGGUCCCGGAUCUGUGCUCCUGACCUCUCUGCUUCCCUGGGGGCUCCCGCCAGAGCGCCGGUGCCCUCAAGGAGACUCCGAGUUUGAGCACCGGGUGUCCACAGAGCCCAGAGACCUCCUGGACGAGGCAGCUCUAACCGGUUCCUGCUACGAGGCCUGAACCCGUGCCCUGCCCUCCACCUCCCCUGCACCGCGGCUGACUCACCCGGAUGCCUGUGAGGCCUCCUCCCCGGGUUUCCUGGUCGCCUCCCCUCCGACCCUCUCCCCUCCACCACCCAUUCUGCUCACCUGUCGCUCGCUUCCUCCCUUAGAACCCCUGUGGCCUCCCGGCUCUGUCCCAAACAAGCCUCGCUCGCUGGCCUCAAGCCCUUGCCCUGGCUUCUCCUUCCAGGGCACCUGUAGGAUCUCCGGGUCUCACGGCUGCUCUGUGUCUUCCAGGUCUCAGCUCACUUGUCCUCUGCUCAGAGGGGCCUUCCCGAGCCCCUCAGUCCCUGUGACAGCAGCUAGUAGCUAUCCUGCCGACUCGCUUGCCCCCCGCCCAUCUCCCUACUUUCCCGGAGAGAGAGGGCAGCUCCAGGGCCCACGCCUGGCAUAGCAGGUGCUCGGUAAGUGCUUGUUGACUGAAUAAACGGAGUAUCAGAGUGAUCUUGUAACUGGAGAGUCCAUCGUCUUAAAUGCAAAAGUUAUCCAUCUACCGUGAUGUGUUCGCUCCCCAGGGGCCUGAGGCCAAUGACCUUAGGCAAGUCAUGUGACCUGCUUGAGCCUUGGUUUCCUUUUCUGUGACACCAAACGCUGGCCGAGAGGGCUCGCGAGACUCUUUCCCAAUUCUGCAUCACUACUCACUGCCGACCCCUCUGUUGCCAUUUGCCACCCUUCCCACUGGGGAAGGAAGAAAAAGGACCCAUUAAUCGUGUCCAGGGAAAGAGAUGAAGCUUCCAACCCUACAAAGAAAAGAUGUCCUUGUCUCGUGUUCACGUGUUCUGCCUUCGGCAUCCAUGUUUUAAUGCUGUAGCUCUCGAACGUUUUGGAACAUCAAGUGCAGCCUUGAGCUCCUCCGGAGGUCCUGACGGGGCUGCCGUGCCUUCGACCGAAGGGAGCAAAUCCACCGCCAGCUCGAGGCUGGUGCUGAAGUCGCUUUAAGGUCCUCGUCACGUGGAACGCUGAAGAGUGAACGUACAAAGAUUCCUUUGAGCGUCUUCAGUCUAGACUCCAAAUGCCUGAAAGUCUGCACAUAAUCAUUAACUUUUAUUAGGGAUGUAUCGGGCUUUACUGCAGAAAUAAUGUAAUUAUUUGCUAGCUCCCCAUGAGCUCUCACUCGUAGGGGCAGGAGGACCUGUGUGGAGAGCUGCUAGAUUUGGGACAGAGAUUUUCCUCGGGCACUUUCCAGUUAUUACAGCCAGGGAAAGGCCAUAAAGUUGAUAUCCGGCACCAGAUCACUUUUACAGCUGGAAACAA